GGGUCCAACCUCCCACCCGUGUUUAUUUUACCUUGUUGCUUCGGCGGGCCCGCCUUAACUGGCCGCCGGGGGGCUUACGCCCCCGGGCCCGCGCCCGCCGAAGACACCCUCGAACUCUGUCUGAAGAUUGUAGUCUGAGUGAAAAUAUAAAUUAUUUAAAACUUUCAACAACGGAUCUCUUGGUUCCGGCAUCGAUGAAGAACGCAGCGAAAUGCGAUACGUAAUGUGAAUUGCAAAUUCAGUGAAUCAUCGAGUCUUUGAACGCACAUUGCGCCCCCUGGUAUUCCGGGGGGCAUGCCUGUCCGAGCGUCAUUGCUGCCCUCAAGCACGGCUUGUGUGUUGGGCCCCGUCCUCCGAUCCCGGGGGACGGGCCCGAAAGGCAGCGGCGGCACCGCGUCCGGUCCUCGAGCGUAUGGGGCUUUGUCACCCGCUCUGUAGGCCCGGCCGGCGCUUGCCGAUCAACCCAAAUUUUUAUCCAGGUUGACCUCGGAUCAGGUAGGGAUACCCGCUGAACUUAAGCAUAUCAAUAAGCGGAGGAA
rnacentral:misc_RNA from 1 species